rnacentral:rRNA from 1 species
CACGGGGGGUGCAAGCGUUAUUCGGAAUUAUUGGGCGUAAAGGGCGCGUAGGCGGCUUGCCAGGUCAGAUGUGAAAGCCCGGGGCUUAACCCCGGAAGUGCAUUUGAAACCGGUAGGCUUGAGUAUGGGAGAGGGAAGUGGAAUUCCUGGUGUAGAGGUGAAAUUCGUAGAUAUCAGGAGGAACACCGGUGGCGAAGGCGACUUCCUGGACCAAUACUGACGCUGAGGCGCGAAGGCGUGGGGAGCAAACAGG